AAUGUACUCCCUCCGUUCGGAAAUACUUGUCAUCAAAAUGGAUAAAAGAGGAUGUAUCUAGAUGUAUUUUAGUUCUAGAUAUAUCUCUUUUUAUUCAUUUUGGUGACAAGUAUUGUCGGACGGAGGGAGUAGUUU
rnacentral:pre_miRNA from 1 species